rnacentral:rRNA from 1 species
GACAGAGGUGCCGAGCGUUAGGCGGAAUCACUGGGCUUAAAGCGUGUGUAGGCGGACUUCUAAGUACCUUGUGAAAUCCCACGGCUCAACCGUGGAACUGCUUGGUAUACUGGUUGUCUUGGGCCAUCUAGGGGCUAGCGGAACAAACGGUGGAGCGGUGAAAUGCGUAGAUAUCGUUUGGAACGCCAAUGGUGAAAACAGCUAGCUGGGGAUGUGCCGACGCUGAGACACGAAAGCCAGGGGAGCGAACGGG